CAGUAGCCGCGGGAAUACGAAGGGGGCUAGCGUUGCUCGGAAUGACUGGGCGUAAAGGGCGCGUAGGCGGUUCACGCAGUCAGAUGUGAAAUUCCUGGGCUUAACCUGGGGGCUGCAUUUGAGACGCGUGGGCUUGAGUGUGAAAGAGGGUCGUGGAAUUCCCAGUGUAGAGGUGAAAUUCGUAGAUAUUGGGAAGAACACCGGUGGCGAAGGCGGCGACCUGGUUCAUUACUGACGCUGAGGCGCGAAAGCGUGGGGAGCAAACAGGAUUAGAUACCCCCGUAGUCCCUGUCUCUUAUAC
rnacentral:rRNA from 1 species